rnacentral:rRNA from 1 species
GGGGAAUAUUGCACAAUGGGCGAAAGCCUGAUGCAGCAACGCCGCGUGAGUGAUGAAGGUCUUCGGAUUGUAAAGCUCUGUCUUUUGGGACGAUAAUGACGGUACCAAAGGAGGAAGCCACGGCUAACUACGUGCCAGCAGCCGCGGUAAUACGUAGGUGGCGAGCGUUGUCCGGAUUUACUGGGCGUAAAGGGUGCGUAGGCGGAUGUUUAAGUGAGAUGUGAAAUACCCGGGCUUAACUUGGGUGCUGCAUUUCAAACUGGAUAUCUAGAGUGCAGGAGAGGAGAAUGGAAUUCCUAGUGUAGCGGUGAAAUGCGUAGAGAUUAGGAAGAACACCAGUGGCGAAGGCGAUUCUCUGGACUGUAACUGACGCUGAGGCACGAAAGCGUGGGUAGCAAACAGGAUUAGAUACCCUGGGUAGUCCACGCCGU